AGAAGGAAAUCGGUGAGGAAGCCCGUCUCCUUCAGUUUUACCCAAGUCUGCAUGUUACCAUGGUAAUAGUUCAUCACAGACUUCCAAUGCAAAGAGGACACAAGAUUCUUAUGCAUCAUUAUCCAGCGAUGAUACAACAGAAUCUAUCAUCUCUCCAGAGAUGUCAUUGAACUCUCUAAAACAUAAAUCCCAAGCACCUCCAUAUACUCGUGAAAUAAAAGGAUCACCAAGAGAAAAAAGUACUACACAGCAGACAACAAAAAUUGUUCCCUCGUCUGACACAUUCUGCAAAAGAAAAAGGAAAGCAGAAGAUAACCUUACAGAAGUGUAUUUAAAGCAGUCCGAAGGGCUGAAUAAUCUGGCUCGACAAGUAACAGAAACAUUAAGUGCAAAAAAUAAUAUUGAACCUACUCAUACGAUAGAUCAGCAAUUCAAAUGGCAUUGACAACAAUGAAGGAUACUGAUAAGUUUCCAUGCUUAUUGGAUGUGUUGCUACUUAUUAAUGAAAAAUAUACUAAGAACAUUAAGUAAGGAUAUGUAACGAUAAACCAACCAGUGAAAUACAAAGUUCACAGUAUCGCAAAUAAAGUAGAACUCCUCGAUAGAGAGACUAAAUAUCUUCUCAAUAAGAUAAGAUUUGGAAACCGAAAUAGGAAGCUGGAACGAAUCAAACGGAUAGUGAAAGUAAAUCCACGGAGAAGAACGAGGGACCUACAGUUGAAUCCGAUAUCGAAAAGGACGAGCCUAUUAAAAAAGAAGACACAUCGGUAGAACAACAAGAAGAAGAACCGGAAUUGAAAGAGAAGGGUGCUACGGAGGAUACGUAGUUCUAAUGGAAAACGAGGAAAUUUUCGAAGAGGUGUAUCAAGAACUAUAAGAAAUAAUUUACAUAAAGAGUGUGUGUGAAUGAUUAUUUGUUAUUGAGAUCGACGAUGUCUCCGUUGAUUUAGGCAAUUUUUGUAGAUGAUCUUGAUCACAGAUGCAUUUAACAUACGAAAAUCAAAGUGGGGGAUUAUCAUAUGCAUCGUUGUAGUUUCGAUAAAUUAUUCUGCGAACAAAUUUUACUUUUAUUUUAAGGAUAUGUAACAAUAACAGGAUACUUUGCGUUAUUACCAUAGUUUCAUAAGUUGUUCGAUUAACAAGUUGAUUGUACUCUUAUAACAAGUUUUGUAAAGCGUUGCUACUUGUGUUGUAUAAGGUUUAUUUUCUGUUAUGAUAUAAUUUAAUGUAUGUUUAUUAAAUGCUUCCCUUAGGA
rnacentral:misc_RNA from 1 species